AUUGAACGCUGGCGGAAUGCUUUACACAUGCAAGUCGAACGGCAGCACGGACUUCGGUCUGGUGGCGAGUGGCGAACGGGUGAGUAAUGUAUCGGAACGUGCCCAGUCGUGGGGGAUAACGUAGUGAAAAUUACGCUAAUACCGCAUACGAUCUAUGGAUGAAAGCUGGGGAUCGCAAGACCGCGCGCGAAUGGAGCGGCCGAUAUCAGAAGAGGUAGUUGGUGGGGUAAAGGCCCACCAAGCCAACGAUCUGUAGCUGGUCUGAGAGGACGACCAGCCACACUGGAACUGAGACACGGUCCAGACUCCUACGGGAGGCAGCAGUGGGGAAUUUUGGACAAUGGGCGAAAGCCUGAUCCAGCCAUUCCGCGUGCAGGAUGAAGGCCCUCGGGUUGUAAACUGCUUUUGUACAGAACGAAAAGGUUUCUACUAAUACUAGGAGCUCAUGACGGUACUGUAAGAAUAAGCACCGGCUAACUACGUGCCAGCAGCCGCCGUAA
rnacentral:rRNA from 1 species